AGUGAACGCUGGCGGUAGGCCUAACACAUGCAAGUCGAACGGCAGCACAGUAAGAGCUUGCUCUUACGGGUGGCGAGUGGCGGACGGGUGAGGAAUACAUCGGAAUCUACUUUUUCGUGGGGGAUAACGUAGGGAAACUUACGCUAAUACCGCAUACGACCUACGGGUGAAAGCAGGGGAUCUUCGGACCUUGCGCGAUUGAAUGAGCCGAUGUCGGAUUAGCUAGUUGGCGGGGUAAAGGCCCACCAAGGCGACGAUCCGUAGCUGGUCUGAGAGGAUGAUCAGCCACACUGGAACUGAGACACGGUCCAGUCUCCUACGGGAGGCAGCAGUGGGGAAUAUUGGACAAUGGGCGCAAGCCUGAUCCAGCCAUACCGCGUGGGUGAAGAAGGCCUUCGGGUUGUAAAGCCCUUUUGUUGGGAAAGAAAAGCAGCAGGUUAAUACCCCGCUGUUCUGACGGUACCCAAAGAAUAAGCACCGGCUAACUUCGU
rnacentral:rRNA from 1 species